UACGAAGGUCCCGAGCGUUGUUCGGAAUCACUGGGCGUAAAGGGAGCGUAGGCGGCGUGGUAAGUCAGAUGUGAAAUCCCGGGGCUCAACCCCGGAACUGCAUCCGAUACUGCCAUGCUAGAGGAUUGGAGAGGUAGCUGGAAUUCUUGGUGUAGCAGUGAAAUGCGUAGAUAUCAAGUGGAACACCAGUGGCGAAGGCGAGUCCCUGGACACUUCCUGACACUGAGGCACGAAAGCUAGGGGAGCAAACAGG
rnacentral:rRNA from 1 species